GCUUACGGCCAUACCAGCGUG
rnacentral:rRNA from 1 species